GAUGAACGCUGGCGGCGUGCUUAACACAUGCAAGUCGAACGAAGCACUGAAAGCUUGCUUUUGGUGACUUAGUGGCGGACGGGUGAGUAACGCGUGGGUAACCUGCCUCACACAGGGGGAUAACAGUUGGAAACGACCGCUAAUACCGCAUAACCCGCUAGGGCCGCAUGGCCCGGACGGAAAAGAUUUAUCGGUGUGAGAUGGACCCGCGUCUGAUUAGAUAGUUGGCAGGGUAACGGCCUACCAAAGCGACGAUCCAUAGCCGGCCUGAGAGGGUGAACGGCCACAUUGGGACUGAGACACGGCCCAG
rnacentral:rRNA from 1 species